CGGCCGCGUCGACCGGGGGCCCGCACAAGCGGCGGAGCAUGCGGAUUAAUUCGAUGCAACGCGAAGAACCUUACCAAGGCUUGACAUGGACCGGACCGCUGCAGAGAUGCAGCUUCCCUUCGGAGCCGGUUCACAGGUGGUGCAUGGUUGUCGUCGGCUCGUGUCGUGAGAUGUUGGGUUAAGUCCCGCAACGAGCGCAACCCCUAUCCUAUGUUGCCAGCACGUCAUGGUGGGGACUCAUGGGAGACUGCCGGGGUCAACUCGGAGGAAGGUGGGGACGACGUCAAAUCAUCAUGCCCCUUAUGUCUUGGGCUUCACGCAUGCUACAAUGGCCGGUACAAUGGGUUGCGAUACUGUGAGGUGGAGCUAAAUCCCUAAAAGCCGGUCUCAGUUCGGAUCGAAGUCUGCAACUCGACUUCGUGAAGUUGGAGUCGCUAGUAAUCGCAGAUCAGCAACGCUGCGGUGAACGUACGUUCCCGGGCCUUGUACACACCGCCGUCAAGUCACGAAAGUACGGUAACGACCGAACCGGG
rnacentral:rRNA from 1 species